UACGUAGGGGGCAAGCGUUGUCCGGAAUCAUUGGGCGUAAAGAGCGUGUAGGCGGCCAUAUAAGUCCGCUGUGAAAUCUCGAGGCUCAACUUCGAGCUGUCGGUGGAAACUGUCUGGCUAGAGUCCGGAAGAGGAGAAUGGAAUUCCUGGUGUAGCGGUGAAAUGCGCAGAUAUCAGGAAGAACACCCGUGGCGAAGGCGGUUCUCUGGGACGGUACUGACGCUGAGACGCGAAAGCGUGGGGAGCGAACAGG
rnacentral:rRNA from 1 species